AACAGAGGGUGCAAACGUUGUUCGGAAUUACUGGGCGUAAAGCGCGUGUAGGCUGCUUCGCAAGUCGGGUGUGAAAGCCCUGGGCUCAACCUAGGAAGUGCACUCGAAACUGCGAAGCUUGAGUCCUGGAGAGGAAGGCGGAAUUCUCGGUGUAGAGGUGAAAUUCGUAGAUAUCGAGAGGAACACCGGUGGCGAAGGCGGCCUUCUGGACAGUGACUGACGCUGAGACGCGAAAGCGUGGGGAGCAAACAGG
rnacentral:rRNA from 1 species